AAGUCGUAACAAGGUUUCCGUAGGUGAACCUGCGGAAGGAUCAUUACUGAGCUCAUGCCCUCACGGGCAGAUCUCCACCCUUGAAUAUGUUACCUUUGUUGCUUUGGCGGGCCGCCUCGGCUACCGGCUUCGGCUGGUGAGUGCCCGCCAGAGGACCCUAAACUCUGAAUUAUAGUGUCGUCUGAGUACUAUACAAUAGUUAAAACUUUCAACAACGGAUCUCUUGGUUCUGGCAUCGAUGAAGAACGCAGCGAAAUGCGAUAAGUAAUGUGAAUUGCAGAAUUCAGUGAAUCAUCGAAUCUUUGAACGCACAUUGCGCCCCUUGGUAUUCCGGGGGGCAUGCCUGUUCGAGCGUCAUUAUAACCCUCAAGCCUAGCUUGGUGUUGGGGCAUGCCUUCCGGCAGCUCUUAAAAUCAGUGGCAGUGCCCUCUGGCUCUAAGCGUAGUAAUUCUUCUCGCUAUAGGGUCUCGAGGUCCGCUCGCCAGAACCCCUAAUUUUCUAUGGUGACCUCGGAUCAGUAGUC
rnacentral:rRNA from 1 species